AGCGAACGCUGGCGGCAGGCUUAACACAUGCAAGUCGAGCGGGCACUUUCGGGUGUCAGCGGCGGACGGGUGAGUAACGCGUGGGAACGUGCCCUCUGGUUCGGAAUAACUCAGGGAAACUUGAGCUAAUACCGGAUACGCCCUUUUGGGGAAAGGCUUGCUGCCGGAGGAUCGGCCCGCGUCUGAUUAGCUAGUUGGUGAGGUAACGGCUCACCAAGGCGACGAUCAGUAGCUGGUCUGAGAGGAUGAUCAGCCACACUGGGACUGAGACACGGCCCAGACUCCUACGGGAGGCAGCAGUGGGGAAUAUUGGACGAUGGGCGCAAGCCUGAUCCAGCCAUGCCGCGUGAGUGAUGAAGGACUUAGGGUUGUAAAGCUCUUUUAUCCGGGACGAUAAUGACGGUACCGGAGGAAUAAGCCCCGGCUAACUUCGU
rnacentral:rRNA from 1 species